rnacentral:rRNA from 1 species
GACGAACGCUGGCGGCGUGCUUAACACAUGCAAGUCGAACGGAAAGGCCCUGCUUGCAGGGUACUCGAGUGGCGAACGGGUGAGUAACACGUGGGUGAUCUGCCCUGCACUUCGGGAUAAGCUUGGGAAACUGGGUCUAAUACCGGAUAGGAGCCAUCUUUAGUGUGGUGGUUGGAAAGUUUUUUCGGUGUAGGAUGAGCUCGCGGCCUAUCAGCUUGUUGGUGGGGUAAUGGCCUACCAAGGCGGCGACGGGUAGCCGGCCGGAGAGGGUGUACGGCCACAUUGGGACGGAGAUACGGCCCAGAUUCCGACGGGGGGCAGAAGUGGGGAAUAUUGCACAAUGGGCGCAAGCCUGAUGCAGCGACGCCGCGUGGGGGAUGAAGGCCUUCGGGUUGUAAACUCCUUUCGCUAGGGACGAAGCUUUUUUGUGACGGUACCUAGAUAAGAAGCACCGGCUAACUACGUG